rnacentral:rRNA from 1 species
GACAGAGGGUGCAAACGUUGCUCGGAAUCACUGGGCGUAAAGGGCGUGUAGGCGGGUAGGCAAGUCGGGCGUGAAAUCCCUGAGCUCAACUCAGGAACUGCACUCGAAACUGCUUAUCUUGAGUGCCGGAGAGGAAAGCGGAAUACCUGGUGUAGAGGUGAAAUUCGUAGAUAUCAGGUGGAACACCAGUGGCGAAGGCGGCUUUCUGGACGGUAACUGACGCUGGAGACGCGAAAGCGUGGGGAGCAAACAGG